rnacentral:tRNA from 2 species
GCGCCCGUAGCUCAGUUGGAUAGAGCAACGGAUUUCUAAUCCGUCGGUCGGGGGUUCGAAUCCCUCCGGGCGCG